UGGGGGAUAUUGCGCAAUGGGGGAAACCCUGACGCAGCAACGCCGCGUGAAGGAAGAAGGUUUUCGGAUUGUAAACUUCUUUUGUCAGGGACGAAUAGAUGACGGUACCUGACGAAUAAGCUCCGGCUAACUACGUGCCAGCAGCCGCGGUAAUACGUAGGGAGCGAGCGUUGUCCGGAAUUACUGGGUGUAAAGGGUGCGUAGGCGGCAGAGCAAGUCAGAUGUGAAAUACACGGGCUUAACCCGUGGGCUGCAUUUGAAACUGUUCAGCUUGAGUGAAGCAGAGGCAGGCGGAAUUCCCGGUGUAGCGGUGAAAUGCGUAGAGAUCGGGAGGAACACCAGUGGCGAAGGCGGCCUGCUGGGCUUUAACUGACGCUGAGGCACGAAAGCGUGGGUAGCAAACA
rnacentral:rRNA from 1 species